CAAAUUCUGACAAGACAAUGAACUUAGAGCAAUUACGUCUCCACCAACUGAGAACAUCAUAAGGCAUCCCCAACUGAUUUUCAACUCUCGGCUCUGGUUUUUCUGUGAGAUACACCUUUAACUCAUUGUAGCUAACUUCAUUAAUCUUCAAUCCAACCACCUUAUCAUAUAUUGACAGCAUCCCCUCACAAUCAUCUUCAUCAUCUGAUAGCUCAAAGGUGCAAGGCU
rnacentral:lncRNA from 1 species